rfam:Cavia porcellus supercont2_50 genomic scaffold, whole genome shotgun sequence.
GGGGAUUUAGCUCAGUGGCACGGCAUUUGCCUGGCAAGCACAAGGUCCUGAGUUCAAUCCCUGGCACCCCCC